UACGGUAGGGGGCAAGCGUUGUCCGGAAUCAUUGGGCGUAAAGCGCGUGUAGGCGGUUCGAUAAGUCUGCUGUGAAAGUCCAGGGCUCAACCCUGGGAUGCCGGUGGAUACUGUCGGACUAGAGUACGGAAGAGGCGAGUGGAAUUCCCGGUGUAGCGGUGAAAUGCGCAGAUAUCGGGGAGGAACACCAAUUGCGAAGGCAGCUCGCUGGGACGGUACACU
rnacentral:rRNA from 1 species